rnacentral:rRNA from 1 species
UUGGAGGGCAAGUCUGGUGCCAGCAGCCGCGGUAAUUCCAGCUCCAAUAGCGUAUAUUAAAGUUGUUGUGGUUAAAAAGCUCGUAGUUGAAUUUCGGGAUCAGUACGCCGGUCGUGCCUUCGGUAUGCACUGGUGUCACUGGAUUCUCCCUUCUGAAGAACCGUCAUGCCAUUAAGUUGGUGUGGCGGGGAAUCAGGACUGUUACUUUGAAAAAAUUAGAGUGUUUGAAGCAGGCUCGCGCUUGAAUACAUUAGCAUGGAAUAAUGAAAUAGGACGUUUGACCCUAUUUUGUUGGUUUCUAGGAUCGACGUAAUGAUUAAUAGGGAAAGUUGGGGGCAUUAGCAUUCAAUUGUCAGAGGUGAAAUUCUUGGAUUUAUUGAAGACUAACUACUGCGAAAGCAUUUGCCAAGGAUGUUUUCAUUAAUCAAGAACGAAAGUUAGGGGAUCGAAGACGAUCAGAUACCGUCGUAGUCUUAACCAUAAACUAUGCCGACUAGGGAUCGGAUGAUGUUAAUUUUUUAAUGACUCAUUCGGCACCUUACGGGAAAC